UACGUAGGCAGCGAGCGUUGUUCGGAGUUACUGGGCGUAAAGAGUGCGUAGGCGGUUUUCUAAGUUUGGUGUGAAAUCUCCCGGCUUAACUGGGAGGGUGCGCCGAAAACUGGAAGGCUUGAGUAUGGGAGAGGUAAGCGGAAUUCCUGGUGUAGCGGUGAAAUGCGUAGAUAUCAGGAGGAACACCUGCGGUGUAGACGGCUUACUGGACCAUAACUGACGCUGAGGAGCGAAAGCGUGGGGAGCGAUCCGG
rnacentral:rRNA from 1 species